AACAGAUUCUGAUGGUGCACUCUCCCUUGUGGACCCUCAUGCCACAGCAGAAGUCCUUGAUGCUGAGGAAACCGAUGAGGAGAACACAUUGUGGUAUAUGCGGAUAUGGAGUGUGACAUAUGACUGGAUAUUCUUAACGUGGCUGGGCAACCUCCACAUCACUACUAAACCCAGUGAGAUGUGCAACAACUGCCAUAGAUUUAUGAUGUUCAACUGUAUGAUUUUAAUGUCAUGAUGUUAUGUAUUCCCAGUUACCUGCAAAGGACAUUUAUAGGAUCCACCUAGUAAAAAAUAUUUUUAAAAGUGACCUCAAAAAGGUGUUGCUGGACCGUCAGAUAAAAAAGACGAAUCUUGAAAUCGAAAUCCUAAAAUACAAGCUAGUGGUGGGUGCAUGGUUACAGGUGAUUUGUGUUCUAUAUUGGAACAAAAUCGAAACCUACUGUUGCUUUUGUAUUUUUAGGAAAUAAAGAAGACAAAAUGAA